CCUACGGGAGGCAGCAGUGGGGAAUAUUGCACAAUGGGGGAAACCCUGAUGCAGCAACGCCGCGUGAAGGAAGACGGUUUUCUGAUUGUAAAAUUCUAUCUAUAGGGAAGAAAGAAAUGACGGUCCCUAAAUACGAAGCCUCGGCUACCUACGUGCCAGCAGCCGCUGCAAUACGGAGGGGGCAAGCGUUAUCCGGAAUUACUGGGUGUAAAGGGAGAUUAGGCGGCAAGGUAAGCGAUAUGUGAAAGCCUUAAGCUUAACUUAAGGAUGGCAUAACGAACUGUCUGGCUAGAGUACAGGAGAGGAAGGCGGAAUUCCUAGUGUAGCGGUGAAAUGCGUAGAUAUUAGGAAGAACACCAGUGGCGAAGGCAGCUUACUAGGCUGAAACUGACGCUGAGGCUCGAAAGCGUGGGGAGCAAACAGGAUUAGAUACCCCAGUAGUC
rnacentral:rRNA from 1 species